rnacentral:rRNA from 1 species
UGCAAAGGUUUCCUCGGGUUGGACGGAGAUUGGCCCUUGAGGGCAAAGGCAGAAGGGAGUUUGACUGCAAGACUCACCCUCACCCGUUGAGUAGGGACAAAAGUCGGCCUUAAU